UACGUAGGGUGCAAGCGUUGUCCGGAAUUAUUGGGCGUAAAGAGCUCGUAGGCGGUCUGUCGCGUCGGCUGUGAAAACCCGGGGCUCAACCCGGGCCUGCAGUCGAUACGGGCAGACUAGAGUGCGGUAGGGGAGACUGGAAUUCCUGGUGUAGCGGUGAAAUGCGCAGAUAUCAGGAGGAACACCGGUGGCGAAGGCGGUUCUCUGGGCAUUACCUGACGCUGAGGAGCGAAAGUGUGGGGAGCGAACAGG
rnacentral:rRNA from 1 species